GCCGUCCCGUGGCAUAGCCGGUCAGCGUUGCCGUGCGUGCAGCCGGGACCGGGCCGCGGGAGAGCCGUGCGGAAACAGGGAUCCUCCAGGGCAGCAUUUGGGACUCCCAGAGUUGAAGGACGAUCUGAAUCUUUCCAUGGAAAGGAAGAAGACAAGAAUACCAUGACAGAAGUGACUACGAGGAAGCAGGAUGAUGCUCCCCAUACUUCUCAACUAUCUGAGUCAGAAGCUACAAGAAGAUGCCCCUAUAAAGUAUGCACGCCACUACUCCAGGUAGUGGCUACAACUGGUUCUCCUUCCACGUGAUCUACCACACACAUCCUUGCAAUGCUACAGAACCAACAUCGUGUAGAGCACUCAGCUGAUGGGCAGGUGCAUGACACCAAACAAGCCAGGUACCAGGCAGUAUGCUGUAGCACAAUGUGCCUGCAGGUGUCAUAGACCACAUCCAUCCAGGAAGCAAGCUCUUUGAAUUGGAUUCCUCCUCCCUUGGGAGAUUUGGGGAUCCUAGACUACAUCAGCUGCUUCUAUUUUCAGCUUUCUUCUCUAAGUAUGUGGCCAGAAUGUGACAG
ensembl:lncRNA